AGAGAUUCCAAACAACUUGCCAGAGAAAU
rnacentral:piRNA from 1 species